GACGACCGCUGGCGGUAUGCUUAACACAUGCAAGUCGAACGAGACGAAGAUGAAGUGCUUGCACGGAUUCUUUAGAAAGUGGCGAACGGGUGAGUAACGCGUGGGUAACCUGCCCUAUGGAAAGGAAUAGCCUCGGGAAACUGGGAGUAAUGCCUUAUAAUAUAUCGAAGUCGCAUGGCUUUGAUAUUAAACGCUCCGGUGCCAUAGGAUGGACCCGCGUCCCAUUAGCUAGUUGGUGAGAUAACAGCCCACCAAGGCGACGAUGGGUAACCGGUCUGAGAGGGCGAACGGUCACACUGGAACUGAGACACGGUCCAGACUCCUACGGGAGGCAGCAGUGGGGAAUAUUGCGCAAUGGGGGCAACCCUGACGCAGCAAUACCGCGUGAGUGAAGAAGGUUUUCGGAUCGUAAAGCUCUGUUAUUGGGGAAGAAAAAAAGACGGUACCCAAGAAGAAAGUCCCGGCUAACUACGUGCCAGCCGCCGCUGUAA
rnacentral:rRNA from 1 species